rnacentral:rRNA from 1 species
GAUGAACGCUGGCGGCGUGCCUAAUACAUGCAAGUCGAGCGAACGGACGAGAAGCUUGCUUCUCUGAUGUUAGCGGCGGACGGGUGAGUAACACGUGGAUAACCUACCUGUCAGACUGGUAUAACUUCGGGAAACCGGAGCUAAUACCGGAUAAUAUUUUGCUCCGCAUUGUUCAAUAGUGAAAGACGGUCUUGCUGUCACUUAUAGCUGGAUCCGCGCUGCAUUAGCUAGUUGGUACGGUAACGGCGUACCAAGGCAACGAUGCAUAGCCGACCUGAGAGGGUGAUCGGCCACACUGGAACUGAGACACGGUCCAGACUCCUACGGGAGGCAGCAGUAGGGAAUCUUCCGCAAUGGGCGAAAGCCUGACGGAGCAACGCCGCGUGAGUGAUGAAGGUCUUCGGAUCGUAAAACUCUGUUAUUAGGGAAGAACAUAUGUGUAAGUAACUGUGCACAUCUUGACGGUACCUAAUCAGAAAGCCACGGCUAACUACGUG